GACAGUGUGGUGUAGUGGUUUGGAUGUUGGAUUAUGACUCUGGGGAACAGAGUUCAAUCCUUGCUCUGUCA
rnacentral:tRNA from 1 species